rnacentral:rRNA from 1 species
AACGAACGCUGGCGGCAGGCCUAACACAUGCAAGUCGAGCGCCCCGCAAGGGGAGCGGCGGCCGGGUGAGUAACGCGUGGGAACGUACCCUUUGCUACGGAAUAGCCUCGGGAAACUGGGAGUAAUACCGUAUGUGUCCUUCGGGAGAAAGAUUUAUCGGCAAGGGAUCGGCCCGCGUUGGAUUAGGUAGUUGGUGGGGUAAUGGCCUACCAAGCCGACGAUCCAUAGCUGGUUUGAGAGGAUGAUCAGCCACACUGGGACUGAGACACGGCCCAGACUCCUACGGGAGGCAGCAGUGGGGAAUCUUAGACAAUGGGCGCAAGCCUGAUCUAGCCAUGCCGCGUGAGCGAUGAAGGCCUUAGGGUUGUAAAGCUCUUUCAGGGGGGAAGAUAAUGACUGUACCCCCAGAAGAAGCCCCGGCUAACUCCGUG